UACGGAGGGUGCAAGCGUUGUCCGGAAUCAUUGGGUGUAAAGGGUGCGUAGGUGGAUGCGUAAGUCAGAGGUGAAAGCCCACAGCUUAACUGUGGAACUGCCUUUGAUACUGCGUGUCUUGAGUCCUGGAGAGGUUACUGGAAUUCGUGGUGUAGCAGUGAAAUGCGUAGAUAUCACGAGGAAUACCAGAAGCGUAGGCGAGUAACUGGACAGGUACUGACACUAAGGCACGAAAGCGUGGGGAGCGAACAGG
rnacentral:rRNA from 1 species